ensembl:lncRNA
UUGUGGAAAAGGAACAAAGUGACUGUGGACAGAGCAGGGAGACCUACAUUUCACUGUACAUCUUUUUUUAUAUAUGUCAAACACUAUAUAAUGUGCAUAGGUUACUAUUCUAUAACAUUAAACACCUACAGUAAUAUUUUUAAUUUUUUUAAUUUUCAGGGAUGAAAUCUUGCUAUGUUUCCUGGACUGGAGUGCAGUCACCACUGGAUUCACAGGAAAAUCACAGCUUACUAUAGACCCAGACUCCUGGGCUCAAGUGAUCCUCCCACCUUACCCUCCAAUUCCCAAUCCUGUAGCUGGGACUACAGCGACACCAGGGAAGCUAUCAAUGUCAAAAGAAGGUAGGUAUUGUCUCUUUCUAGAUUGUCUGUUUCCCUUUCUCUGAUGAUAGAAAACCUUUAAGGACCAUUUUAAAUUCAACUUCUUUCAAGAAACCACUUCCAAUGACCUCAAUUCCAUGUGAUUUAGACCUUCUCUCAGUCAAUACUGUACACUGUCUGUCUUCUAAUGUAUUCUGUUUUAUAAUGAACUGAGUUAUAUUUUAUCCCCCAUUAUAGUAUAUGCUCUGUGAAGACAAGAUUGUAUCUUGUUCAUCUUUACAUCUGCAAAGGCAUUUCAUACUGAGUAG